rnacentral:ncRNA from 1 species
AAUAUAUUUAAUAUACUCAAAACUGGUACAGACAAGGAGAAUCUGAUUGUUUAAUUAAAACAAAGCAUUGUGAUGGUCCCUACGGAUGCUGACACAAUGCGAUUUCUACCCAGUGCUCUAAAUGUCAAAGUGAAGAAAUUCAACCAAGUGCGGGUAAAUGGAGGGAGUAACUAUGACUCUCUUAAGGUAGCCAAAUGCCUCGUCAUCUAAUUAGUGACACACAUGAAUGGAUUAAUGAUAUUCCAACUAUCCCUAUCUAGUAUCUAGCGAAACCACAACCAAGGGAAUGGACUUGGAAAAAUUAGCAAGGAAAAAAGACCUAUUGAUCUUGACUCUAGUUCGACUUUGUGAAAUGACUUGAGAGGUGUAGAAUAAGUUGGAACCAUUUCGGUGGAAGUGAAAUACCACUACUUUUAAUGUUAUUUUACUUAUUUCGUGGGGUGGAGACGAGGCAUUGCCCUCGUUUUUGGCUUUAAGAUACGUUUCAAUGGGUCAAUCUGGGUGGAAGACAUUCUUAGGUGGGGAGUUUGGCUAGGGUAGCACAUCUAUUAAAAAAUAACUCAGGUGUCCUAAUAUGAGCUCAACGAGAAAAAAAAUAUCAUGUGGAGCAAAAGGGUAAAAGCUCAUUUGAUUUUGAUUUUACAGUACGAAUACAAACCGUGAAAGUGUGGCCUAUUAUGAAAAUGAAGUUAUUUUGUCCUUAGAUGGUGGUGCAUGUUUUCCCAAUGCAUAGAUUCACUUGU